rnacentral:rRNA from 1 species
UGGGGAAUAUUGGACAAUGGGCGAAAGCCUGAUCCAGCAAUACCGCGUGUGUGAAGAAGGCCUUCGGGUUGUAAAGCACUUUAAGUUGGGAAGAAAAAGCUUCACCUAAUACGUGAAGCCUUGACGGUACCGACAGAAUAAGCACCGGCUAACUCUGUGCCAGCAGCCGGUAAUACAGAGGGUGCUAGCGUUAAUCGGAUUUACUGGGCGUAAAGCGUGCGUAGGUGGUUUGAUAAGUCGAUUGUGAAAGCCCCGGGCUUAACCUGGGAAUUGCGGUCGAUACUGUCAGACUCGAAAACGGUAGAGGGAGGUGGAACUCCAGGUGUAGCGGUGAAAUGCGUAGAUAUCUGGAAGAACACCGAUGGCGAAGGCAGCCUCCUGGGCCUGUUUUGACACUGAGGCACGAAAGCGUGGGUAGCAAACAGGAUUAGAUACCCUGGUAGUCCACGCCGUAAACGAUGAGAACUUGGCGUUGGUUUGCUUAGCAAAUCGGUGUCGUAGCUAACGCGAUAAGUUCUCCGCCUGGGGAGUACGGCCGCAAGGUUG